AAGGACAGAAUGAGUCUACAGCAACCAGACGAGUUUGAAGACUACAACCCCACGAGGUGAAUGGUAACUAGACCAUUGUAAAUGAUUGACGAGUAUCUGGUGGAGUCGAUAAAUGGACAGACGCUGAAUCACAUUCUACAAUAGCAGAUAUCUUUUUAUCCUACAUCAACGGCAUUUGUAUGCCUGUUACGUGCGGUAAUAAGGAUUUCUCUGGAGUUUCAAGGCUACUGCACAAGCCGUAGAUUUGUGAACGAUUUCCUAGACAAACUUGUGAUUUCAUGAAAAUUAAUUGGCUUUCAGGAUUUAAUUUUCCCCGAAAAAUGUUUUGUUUCCUAUGUAAAUUGCGUUUGUAUAUCUGAAUGUGUGCACCUUUUCAUGCUGUCAUGGGUUUGAUGGUAGUGAUUUUGAAGUUUCCCUUAAAAGUCGUCAAAAAUG